UGCAGAAUCCCGUGAACCAUCGAGUCUUUGAACGCAAGUUGCGCCCGAUGCCAUUAGGUUGAGGGCACGUCUGCGUGGGUGUCACAUAUCGAAGCCUCCUACCAAUUUCCUUUUGACAGGUAUUGUGCAGGGUGGAUGUUGGCCUCCCGUGAGCUCUUUUGUCUCAUGGUUGGUUGAAAAUUGAGACCUUGGUAGGGUGUGCCAUGAUAAAUGGUGGUUGUGUGACCCACGAGACCAAUCAUGUGCUGCUCUAUUGAAUUUGGCCUCUUUUACCCGUAUGCGUUUCUAAACGCUCGUGAUGAGACCCCAUGUCAGGCGGGGCUACCCGCUGAAUUUAAGCAUAUCAAUAAGCGGAGGAAAAGAAACUAACAAGGAUUCCCUUAGUAACGGCGAGCGAACCGGGAUAAGCCCACCAUGAGAAUCGGUCGCCCUCGGCGUUCGA
rnacentral:rRNA from 1 species